CGCCGACGUCGCCAUUCGCAUUCUGCGGCGCCAAUCGAUAGGGGUCAGCGAGUGGCUGGGAUGGCGUCGUCGGCGUCCGCGCCAGCGUCCACGGGCCCGCGCUACGCCCCGCCGGAUCCGACGCUGCCCAAGCCGUGGAGGGGGCUAAUCGACGGCAACACGGGGUACCUCUACUUCUGGAACCCGGAGACAAAGGUUACGCAGUACGAGCGUCCCGUCGCUGCCGUGCCCGCCCCCCAAUCGCAGCCGCUUGUCUACUCCAGGCCCGAUGAUGUGCCGAGAAGCAGCGCACCUGCCGAGCAGCGCUCGGAAGCUGCGGUGAGCCGCCCGCAAUUUGUGCCUCCCUCCGAUAACAGGACAAGGAUUGAUCACUCAGAGGUACACUGUUUUUCUCUCUUUACUUCGUUAUCAAUUGCGUGUUUCUUUGAAAUGAAGCGGGGUAAACCUUUGCUCUAAAAACAAAGAGCUACAUAUUAGUUAAGGUCAGUUCAUAUCAUAGUGAUGACCUUUUCUUGGUUAAUCACUAUUUAUCAUGAUAGGUAGUUUUUUAUUCAGCAUCCUGCUGAAGCCGCAUGCACAAUGUGCCUAGUUACCUGUACAUUCAAUAAUAAUUUUUGUAUUCAUAGGACAUUGCUGCUUCAUAAUUUCAGGAAGAUACAAUAGUACUGUAGUAGUAAUACUGCAUCAAAGAAUCAAAAUAUGAUCUUAAAAGAGCAUAUUAGGUGAUGUGCAUUUAUUGCUCCGCUCAUGGCUCAUAACAUGCUACCCUGUUUUCAGUCAAGCUCUGCAUCUGGAGUGAACCUUUCACAAAGUGCUCUGUCCACCAAUCAAGUUUCUCAGUAUGCCAAUGGGAGCCAAAUGUCAACAGAAGCAUAUCGUGCCAAGCAUGAGAUUACUAUCGUCGGCAAUGAGGCACCUGCACCAUUCAUGACAUUUCAAUCCACAGGCUUCCCAUCAGAGAUUCUAAGGGAGGUUCUGCAAGCAGGAUUCUCUGCACCAACUCCUAUCCAAGCUCAAUCAUGGCCAAUUGCUCUAAGGGGUCGUGAUAUAGUAGCUGUGGCGAAGACAGGGAAUUGGCGACACAAAUUCAAGAUGAAGCAAUCAAGUUUGGCAGAUCUUCAAGAAUAUCUUCUACUUGCUUAUAUGGAGGUGCUCCAAAAGGCCCUCAGCUAAGAGAGUUGGAGCGUGGUGCUGACAUUGUUGUCGCAACUCCUGGGAGAUUAAAUGACAUUUUGGAAAUGAAUAGAGUGAGCCUGCACCAAGUAUCAUAUCUUGUCCUUGAUGAAGCCGACCGUAUGCUUGAUAUGGGAUUUGAGCCACAAAUAAGGAAAAUUGUGAAACAAAUACCACCGAAACGGCAAACUCUUAUGUAUACUGCCACAUGGCCAAGAGAGGUUAGAAAAAUAGCGUCUGAUUUACUGGCUAACCCAGUUCAAGUUAACAUUGGAAACACUGAUCAGCUAGUUGCAAAUAAGUCAAUUACACAGCAUGUGGAAGUUAUCCCACAUAUGGAGAAAUCAAGACGACUUGAUCAGAUCUUGCGCUCACAAGAUCCUGGAUCAAAAAGCAUAAUAUUUUGCUCCACUAAGAGGAUGUGUGAUCAGUUAGCUCGAAACCUAUCACGGCAGUAUCGUGCUUCUGCUAUUCAUGGUGAUAAAUCACAGGCUGAGAGGGAUUCUGUGUUGAAUGACUUUCGAAGCGGCAGGUGUCCAGUACUUGUAGCCACUGAUGUGGCCGCUCGAGGCUUGGACAUAAAGGACAUCAGGGUCGUGGUUAACUAUGAUUUCCCAACUGGUGUGGAGGACUAUGUCCAUAGAAUUGGGAGGACAGGUAGGGCUGGUGCAACAGGAUCUGCCUACACAUUCUUCGGUGACCAGGAUUCAAAGUACGCUUCAGACCUUGUGAAGAUUUUGGAGGGUGCAAACCAAUCUGUGCCGCCACAGUUGAAAGAAAUGGCUCUUCGUGGAGGAUAUGGUGGAAGAUCACGUCGGUGGGCAUCUUCUGAUGACUCUUAUGGUGGUCAGGGAUAUGGUGCUAAAAGAUCAACUGAUAGCUUCAAUAAUAACAACUUCGGCAACCAGGCUGGAGGUGGUUCAAGCUUUCACUCGAGCUCCAGUGGCGGUCAGUUUGGUGAUACUACGAGCUUCCAUGGCAGUGUCCGCAACAAUCAGACGGGGGACAAUGCGAGCUUUCCACCCAGCUCCAGCAACAAUCAGGCUGGCGAUGGUCUCAGUUUUCAUGAAAGGUUCUAUGGAUCACGUGGAAGGGACCAGAGCAGAACAAGCAAUGAUGGAUUCCGUGCCAGGAGCAGAAGUCCUCCUGGCAAGCCCGUGGAAGUUUCCAACUGGUGAUUGCAUCCACUAGGUGCAAUCCAAUUUUUGCGAUGGUGACGAAACCAAGUAGAAGAUGGCACCCUAACAAGUUAUAUUAUUUCCUUUUCUUAUCCUGCUUAGAUCCAAGGAUGUGAUGGUCUGAACCCUAACGGUCUCCUGCUAUCUUGAUUUGACGUCUGGGAGACGCUUGAUUCCGUGCCUGUGGGUUGUAAAGCGUUAAAACUUGACUUUGCUAGUGUACUCCCAAUGAUAUAACCCAAUCCUGGGUAAACAAACGCAUGGGGAUGAAUUUUGGACGAAACCAUGGACAACUGAUGUGUGUUUAAUGUCAUGUACAAUCUAUGUCGAAGGCUGUUGUAAAUGCCGUCCGCAUAGUUUAUAUUGAGAUGAGUGUCUGUUA